rnacentral:lncRNA from 1 species
CGCAUUAUAUAAUAACAAAAAUUACUCUAAGCGCUUCACAUUUAAAAAUAUAUAAAUACAAAAAUACAUAAAUCAUAGAUUACAAAGCACUAUCUUAAAAGAAUCAAACAAGCAUAUAAAAAUUUAUAAGAUACUUAAAAAAAGAAAAAACAGAAAUAAAAGAAAUGAAAAAUGCAUGUACCCUAAAAUAUACAAAACUGUCUAAAACUAAUGCAGUCAAUUAAAAGUAUAUAAAAUCUACAAGAAAUCCUUAAAAGCAGUCCGAAAUAAAUGAGUCUUGAGUUGCUUUUUAAAACAUCUAAAGAAUUUACACUCCGUAAAGACGAUGGCAAAUUGUUCCAGAGUGUUGGCGCAGCCUUGUCAAAACGCCUCUCACCGUAGCUUUUUGUUCGAACGUCAUUUGGAGGAUGUAGAAGCAUACUAUUUUCCGACCUGAGGGAUCUACUUGGCUUGUAUGGAAUAAUUAAAUUUUGAAGGUAACUAGGAGCCUUGCCAUGCUGUGCUUUGUAAACAUAUAAAAGAAGUUUAUAUUGGCAACGGUAAUGUAUGGGUAGCCAGUGUAAUGAUAUUAAAACAGGCGUAAUUGAGUCAAAUUUCCUUUUUCGUGUUAUCAAACGCGCUGCUGUGUUUUGGACCCGCUGCAAUUUACUGAUAAUGUUGGUGUUAGUACCGUACAACAAUGCAUUUCCAUAGUCCAGCCUUGAUG